rnacentral:rRNA from 1 species
UACGUAGGGGGCAAGCGUUGUCCGGAUUUACUGGGCGUAAAGAGCUUGUAGGUGGUUUGUCGCGUUGUUCGUGAAAUCUCACGGCUUAACUGUGAGCGUGCGGGCGAUACGGGCAGACUAGAGUACUGCAGGGGAGACUGGAAUUCCUGGUGUAGCGGUGGAAUGCGCAGAUAUCAGGAGGAACACCGGUGGCGAAGGCGGGUCUCUGGGCAGUAACUGACGCUGAGAAGCGAAAGCGUGGGGAGCGAACAGG